UACGGAAGGCACAGGGGGAAUAUUGCACAAUGGGCGCAAGCCUGAUGCAGCCAUGCCGCGUGUAUGAAAAAGGCCUUCGGGUUGUAAAGUACUUUCAGUCGUGAGGAAGGUGUUAAGGUUAAUAACCUUAGCAAUUGACGUUAGCGACAGAAGAAGCACCGGCUAACUCCGUGCCAGCAGCCGCGGUAAUACGGAGGGUGCGAGCGUUAAUCGGAAUUACUGGGCGUAAAGGGCACGCAGGCGGUUAAUUAAGUUGGAUGUGAAAUCCCCGGGCUUAACCUGGGAAUGGCAUUCAAGACUGGUUAGCUAGAGUCUUGUAGAGGGGGUAGAAUUCCAUGUGUAGCGGUGAAAUGCGUAGAGAUGUGGAGGAAUACCGGUGGCGAAGGCGGCCCCUGGACAAAGACUGACGCUCAUGUGCG
rnacentral:rRNA from 1 species